rnacentral:rRNA from 1 species
CAGUAGCCGCGGUAAAACGUAGGUCCCGAGCGUUGUCCGGAUUUAUUGGGCGUAAAGCGAGCGCAGGCGGUUAGAUAAGUCUGAAGUUAAAGGCUGUGGCUUAACCAUAGUACGCUUUGGAGACUGUUUAACUUGAGUGCAAGAGGGGAGAGUGGAAUUCCAUGUGUAGCGGUGAAAUGCGUAGAUAUAUGGAGGAACACCGGUGGCGAAAGCGGCUCUCUGGCUUGUAACUGACGCUGAGGCUCGAAAGCGUGGGGCGCAAACAGGAUUAGAUACCCGGGUAGUCCCUGUCUCUUAUACA